rnacentral:rRNA from 1 species
UACUUCGGGCCGAGGGCGUUCGCGGCGCGGAGCAGCGGACGCGGCAGCCGAGGGCAGUGCGACGGCGGCGGCCCGAAGCACCGCCUGUCCCUCCUCCGCCGCCGGGCGCACCUCGCCGAGGAGGUCAUGGUCAAGUUGUUCGCGAGGGACGAGCUCCUCCGCGAGUGGGUGGUCAGGAAGCGGCCGCCGCCGCGGCGGAGCAUGGUCUCCGAGCUCAAGCAGCCCCUGCGCCGCGAGCCGGAGCGGAAGAGGUUGAAGGAGAUGGAGUGGUUGGGGUGGCAGCCGGGGCCGCGCGAGAGGUGCGAGGCCCGGCGGUUGUAGAGGUGGCUCUUCGACCGGGCGCAGCGGCACGCGGUGCUGGAGAUGGGCGACGAGGCUGCGUUGACGGGAGCAGAGCUAGAGAACCAUCCUGUCAAAUAGGUCAGUCACUUUGUUCUCAAUGUCCUACUGGAACCGUGAUGCGGGAUACCACCGUGACAUAAAUUCCGAGGGUUCCACGAACGACUAUAACAACUCCGGUAACGGCGACGACAGAUACACCUAACGUUGAAAUUAGAACUCUUCGAGACCUUCCAUUGUUCCAAGGAGAAACUCGGGUAACAGUGCCGUCUUUGUUAUCUACUCGUUGGGCACAGAUGCAACGUACUCGACACGGUCUUUGUACCCUUUCUAUAUUUUAAGUUCUGAACCGUCUUCCCACCUUGUUGCCAACAUUUACAUAAACAACCGCCCCGUGAACAACCCUACCCGAGGAGUCUCGUCUACCAUUAACGAUUCGAGUUACGGUGUGCCCUACGUAAUUCGUUCGAAGAACCACCUCCGUUAGUUGUUCACAACUGUUAACCUCAACCGGUACCUAGUCUCCAACUCCAACCUCUCGAAUCCCUUACGUUCGUCUUCGAAUAACUCGUCACGUCGUCCUUCGUAACCGGUUUUGGGUAGAAAUUCAAUCUCUUCCUUCUUCCGGGCCGUGUACUAUCCUGUAAACAAAUGAGGCAAGUCCAUCUUUGGGUUCCACCAUAAACCCAUUGAAAUUCACUAUUCUACAGUUCCCAUUUCCUACGCCUCUUGAGACCGCGCGUCUUCUACAACCUUGUAGAUAACUUUAACACUCUAGGGAUAUAACAGGAAACCUCUCUUGUAUAAAGAUAAAGAUAGGGAAACAGUUGGAAUCCGACUCCAACACAGAUCGUUUUUAUUAUUGUUAUGUUUUUACAUAAUGUAGGGAACUGUUUUUACUACUAAGUUUGAAAAUAUACUUACAAGGAAACGGCCUCAAUCCCUAGGUACGUGAACUUAAGACUGCGUAGGACCACCACUGAUGAUCCUCAUCCUUCCUCUAGGAUCUUCGGAUGUAGCACCACCACUGAGAAUCGUACAUCCACCCUCUACUCGAGUUCUCUUAUCUUCCUUUGCCACCACUUCCCUCUUGGUUUCUCCACUUACUCCUACUUUUUCUACGUGGCCUAAAAGACGACACCCAAGUAGGACAGGUACGGCUACUUUAGUAUAUCAAAUUUUUCGCGACAAUACUCUAAAAACAGCGUUUUUUCUCGUAACCCUGUCUUCAAUCGGAAGGAUAAAUAGCCACAUCGUGAGGCUACCAGUCUACGUCAAAAUAUGAGCAGUCAAAAAAAAUCGGUUUGUCUAUGAAAUUUCGGUACAUAUAGCCACAUCUUAGGUCACAAUUCUGACUUUUAAACAAAUAUUCGAACUUUAUCGUACAGGUAGAGCUAUCAUUACUGUACCCGAAGAAAAUGUAUUUAUAGUGCAUCUUUCAACAUUCCUACUCUUUAUUUAAAGGUGCAUUUAUUUUAUUUUAGUCUUUCAUUGAUACUUAUUUAAUCAAUUUAAUUGUUUGAUAUGUAUAUGAUACUAAUCCUCUACCAUAUUAUAAACGGGUGUUGGUAUCCUAACUACCAAUACUUUAAAUUUAUAUAAAAAACCACUCGAAUCUAGUUUGCUUGGAGUAGGAUUGAGUACAAAAGAAUAUAACCAUAUCUAAACGAAUCAGGCAAGUUCUUUAAGAGACCAAACACCAACAACUUGACACGAAAAAGUUGUCAACGAAAAUAUUUGUGAGAUCCUUUUGGAAUCUUCUACGUUAAAAGAAGACAAUUUGUUCGUCGCUUUAACCGUUGGGCUCAAUAGUGUUGGGCGAGUCCAGUAAAAGCUAAGUCACUAAGUGUGUUAUUGUUUGUUUUAUAUCCGGAAGCAAGCGCCAGUUACUUGAUACAGCACUGCUCGAUACAAAUACUAUAUGCCUUUAAAUCGGUGUAAAAUCCUGUCAUUUUGACUCGUCGAAAGGUUGGUAGAUUGCGGGACGCGCAAAGACCUGUAGGUAAAAGCACUGAACCCGUUGGAACUUACAACAGACAACAGAUGAGACCGAAAGUGGUAUGUAAGACUAAGGACCCGGUUUUUCAGGAUCUCCCGACGAAAAGGCCUCCUUUUAAACUUCGGGAUACCAUUUGAUCCGACUCUCUCUCUCCCUCUUUCCUCCCUCCCCCCCUCUCCUCCUCUUCCUCUCCCUCUCCCUCUCUCUACCCCCACCCCUCGCUCGACUGCGCCUGCCAGAGACGAUCUCUCUCCUCCACUACAUAGUUAGCCAGGGUGCCAAAUCCCGUUCCUCUCGGACGCGCCCUCUACAUCCGGCUGUGGUACCGACAAACCGACUCGUGUUGACGGGGCGACCCUAAACUUCUUCGGUAGUAGGAAGUCAAAGAGACGUCCGUAAGUACCGUCCACUACACGGGUAGGAAGGCAACUGAGCAAUGUCCACUACAAGUAUGACCAACACCAGUUAAAUAAAGCCGUCUAGAACCUCCAGUUGACUAUUAAAGGCUACCGGAGACCUGUCUUAUCACCUCUCCCUCGUCCGAAACCUUCGAACACAUAAACAACCCUAAUUCCAAAACUAGUAGGUUCUCCAACUCUUCGACGAUGUCAGUUAACUACCUCGGUAUCGGUCAGUCUACUUGUAGGAGCAGGAGUGUUGAGGCCCGCCAACGAUAAAACCGUCGCACCUGAGGCACGUCUACGCUAGCAGAACGGACGUUCUCCUCUCCUGUACAAAAGUAGAUGUCACCUGAGUGUCGGGUCACGCGCAUACUGAGUAAUGAUACAACAAGAAGGACACACAUACAUUGUAGCUAGCACACCAACCGAUGACCUUAAGUUAGUUGUCGACACCAGUCGCAAUCGCUCUAGUCCCACGGUCGUACCGAUGAAUGUCAAAUUCUUCGAAACAAGCGUUACUGUCACUCUCCAAAGGUAAAAGAAGAAAAACAAAGGGACCGGCAAAGAUGAAAAGAACACAAGAGGGGAGGACGGUCGCACUGAGUGCUUUUACUCUGCUCCGAACCAUAAGCGACCAAAUGACAGACAAACAUCAAACCAACAACAACAAGUCAAGUCAAAUUCUUCAAAAACAGCGUUGGUGUCACUCUCCUCAAAGAUAAAAGAAAUAAAAAUAAAAAAAAGCACCGACAAAGACAAAAAGAAAACCAUCAAACCAACAACAUCAAGUCAACACCCCGUCGGUUGUCCAACACGGCGUCGGUUUGGGACCGGAUCUACAACGGGUCCUAGUAUGUAAGCCGAACAAACAAAUUAGUUAAAGUCUUUACCUAAACUCUCG